CAUGCUUUACACAUGCAAGUCNAANGGCAGCGGGGGCUUCGGCCUGCCGGCGAGUGGCGAACGGGUGAGUAAUGCAUCGGAACGUGCCCAUGUCGUGGGAGAUAACGUAGCGAAAGCUACGCUAAUACCGCAUACGUCCUGAGGGAGAAAGCGGGGGAUCUUUGGACCUCGCGCGAUUGGAGCGGCCGAUGUCGGAUUAGCUAGUAGGUGAGGUAAAGGCUCACCUAGGCGACGAUCCGUAGCGGGUCUGAGAGGAUGAUCCGCCACACUGGGACUGAGACACGGCCCAGACUCCUACGGGAGGCAGCAGUGGGGAAUUUUGGACAAUGGGGGCAACCCUGAUCCAGCCAUGCCGCGUGAGUGAAGAAGGCCUUCGGGUUGUAAAGCUCUUUCGGCCGGGAAGAAAUCGUGGUCUCUAACAUAGGCCAUGGAUGACGGUACCGGACUAAGAAGCACCGGCUAACUACGUGCCAGCAGCCGCGGUAAUACGUAGGGUGCGAGCGUUAAUCGGAAUUACUGGGCGUAAAGCGUGCGCAGGCGGUUUUGUAAGACAGAUGUGAAAUCCCCGGGCUUAACCUGGGAACUGCGUUUGUGACUGCAAGGCUAGAGUACGGCAGAGGGGGGUGGAAUUCCUGGUGUAGCAGUGAAAUGCGUAGAGAUCAGGAGGAACACCGAUGGCGAA
rnacentral:rRNA from 1 species